rnacentral:lncRNA from 1 species
UUUACGACACUGGCCACGCAUGCCAAAGCAUUCACAAAGUUGGAUUUCAUGAAGUUCACGUGCUUCAACCCCCCGAUUGCCCCCAACAGAAAACGCAGUAAGUUUAUACAAUCUUUUUUUCAACUAAAGUCGGUGAAGAAGAAAAUUCACUACGUAUGAUGCCCUCUUCUAUAUUUUUGCCAGCUACGAUUGCGGAAUAUUCACAAUGCUCUUCAUGAAGCAAUGGGAUGGGAAGAUCAUGGCCAACUUUUCCAAGGUAUUACCCUCCUAAACCAAAUAGCUACUCAUGUGUUAAUUCAAUGCUUCUAUCAAUCAUAUUGGUUUUUGGCAUGUAACCAACUCUGCAAUUUUCUUCAGUGCACCCAACUACAAAUGUGCAUUCUUCAUUGUUCUAACCACCGUCCCGACUUCUACCGCAGGAUACAUACGGCCAUCGGGCGAUUAUCACCGAACUAAUCAUAACUUCGCAGCUCAACAACCAAGACCCUACCUGGGUACUGAAGACCAACUGAGGAACCGUCUUAGUCGCGAUCAAACAAAUAAUAUUCCUCGUAGAUAAUCACGCCGACGAGCAUUCAACAGAAUAAACGAUCGCGCUUCUGCGAACUAUGUGCUUCCAAGUUUCUUUUUUACUUCUAGCUAGUUGUUUUAUUACACAAUUCAACUUCGUUACCAACAGGUUCCCAUAUUUUUGUGUCCUCUAUCUGGUACUAUUUUGUACUCAAUCAUGAGUUUUCAAGCUGGAAGUAACAGAG